UAGGUUAUUAGGCUUCUCCCUUGAGCUUUUGUUUAAGUCCCACAGCGAUCGGGCCUUCAAACGGAUCAAGAAUAGGCAAUUCGGGCUUUUUCUCCCAACAGAAUGGGGUGGAGACCCCGUCAGUGGGGUGGAGACCCCGUCAGUGGGGUGGAGACCCUGUCAUGGCAGCCCCUAUUCUGCUGAAGUGGGGUGGAGACCCCAUCAGUGGGGUGGAGACCCCGUCAUGGCAGCCCCUAAUCUGCUGAAGUGGGGUGGAGACCCCAUCAGUGGGGUGGAGACCCCAUCUUGGCAGAUUUUUCUUCUUCAGAACGGGGUGGAGACCCUGUAAAUGGGGUGGAGACCCCAUUUGGGCAGCCCCGAA
rnacentral:lncRNA from 1 species